GUUUGUGGAAACACCACGUAAAUUUAUUACUGCAAAGCUUUUAUUAUUAUUAUUAUUAUUAUUAUUAUUAACAUAUUAUUAGCACUGAUGAAGAUCCGGGCUUACGGAUCGAAAGCUUUGCAGUAAUAAAUUUACGUGGUGUUUCCACAAACAAAACUAU